AGAGUUUGAUCCUGGCUCAGAUUGAACGCUGGCGGCAUGCCUUACACAUGCAAGUCGAACGGUAACGCGGGGCAACCUGGCGACGAGUGGCGAACGGGUGAGUAAUGCAUCGGAACGUGCCCAGUAGUGGGGGAUAGCCCGGCGAAAGCCGGAUUAAUACCGCAUACGACCUACGGGUGAAAGCGGGGGACCGAAAGGCCUCGCGCUAUUGGAGCGGCCGAUGUCAGAUUAGGUAGUUGGUAGGGUAAAAGCCUACCAAGCCGACGAUCUGUAGCUGGUCUGAGAGGACGACCAGCCACACUGGGACUGAGACACGGCCCAGACUCCUACGGGAGGCAGCAGUGGGGAAUUUUGGACAAUGGGCGCAAGCCUGAUCCAGCCAUGCCGCGUGCGGGAAGAAGGCCUUCGGGUUGUAAACCGCUUUUGUCAGGGAAGAAAUGCCAUGCGCAAAUACCGUGUGGUGAUGACGGUACCUGAAGAAUAAGCACCGGCUAACUACGUGCCAGCAGCCGCGGUAAUUC
rnacentral:rRNA from 1 species